AUUCCAGUAGGUAAUGAAGCAAGUAGCUUUGUAGUGAAUCCGUUAGUGGAUAGCUCCCGUGCUAGUUUGGAUGCAUUAGCUCUCUGAUAAUCCAAUUGUUUGGCAUCCUGUUUUUCAAGUCCUUGUUUGGUUAUUAGUUCACAGCCAAUACUGGAACGUCUAGCAAUCUGGCCACGGAUAUUUGCUUGAAGUUUGACAAUGCCAUGUAUACAGUAUAAUGUAGCAACAGCCUGCCUUCUG
rnacentral:misc_RNA from 1 species